UACGUAGGCAGCAAGCGUUGUUCGGAGCUACUGGGCGUAAAGGGUGUGUAGGCGGUUCUUUAAGUUUGGUGUGAAAUCUCCCGGCUUAACCGGGAGGGUGCGCCGAAUACUGAGGGACUCGAGUGCGGGAGAGGAAAGUGGAAUUCCUGGUGUAGCGGUGAAAUGCGUAGAUAUCAGGAGGAACACCGGUGGUGUAGACGGCUUUCUGGACCGUAACUGACGCUGAGACACGAAAGCGUGGGUAGCAAACAGG
rnacentral:rRNA from 1 species